CUUUUUCCUUCCCCUUUGUCUCUGUGAGGUCGGGGUGUCCCAACAUGGGGACCCUGCUGAGCCACACCGUCUCCUCCUGCUCCCCGGGCCCCCCCCGGCCGUGAGGGGACAGCGGGGGCCGGGGGGAGCGCGGGGGGCUCCCCUGGGGGACGUGCUGACCCCCCGCGAGCGGGCCCUGCUCCGUGCCUCCGACCCCACUUCCAGGAGGCUGCCGGCGGAGGUAUGGGCGACCCCGCACUCCCACGGCUCCCCGGGCUCCGUGGCUGGUGGGGUCCAGCCCCUCCUGCCCUCAGCACCCCCCUGUGCAGCAGGGAGAGCCCCUCCGGAGGCCGGUCCCACCAGGAGGACACCAGGAGCUGCUGGAGGCCCACCAGAGCCAUGUGGCCGAAAUCCGGGCCAGGACCCAGCAGCUGGAGCAGCAGAGGGAGGGUAGGUGCUGGUGGGGGGUUUUGGGGAGAUGGGGGGAGCCCCUUCAACCUUCCUCAGGGCUGUGCCGGCGGCUGGCGGAGCUGGGAAGGGGGGUGGCCACAGACCCCCACCCCGAGCGGGAGGGACCGGAGCUGAGCCCGGCCCCACAGGCCCCGAGGGAUGAGGUUGGACGGCUGCAAGUGACACAGGGAGGGGCUGCCCUCCACCUCGACGCCCUCCUGCCGGCUGCUGGGCCACUUGCCGCCGAGGCCAGGGAGCUGCGACUGUCCUACCUGCGGGGCGGUGGGCACGACCCCACCAUCCUGGCCCAGCUCCUCCAGCUGCAGGCGGAGGCCACGGUGCUGGAGAAAGGGACUACAGGGCCGCGCAGGGGCAGGAGGCCAGGUAAACCCCAAUCCAGCCCCCCCGACCCACCCCCAGCCCCACAGCUGGUGGCUGAGACAGCCCUGGCUGUGCCAGCAGAACCCUCUGAUGCUAGUGGACGGGGCCUGGAUGCGGCCCUGCUGGCUGUGGAGCUGGAGAACCAGCGGCUGGAGGACCAGCUCCUGGCACUGAAGGUCAGGAGGGAGAGGAGAGCCAACACCGGGUCACGGGUGACACAGCAGCACGCGGAGGAGCUGGCCCAGCUGCAGGCAGAGGUGGGGAUGCUGCGAUGCCACGUGGAGCAGAGGAGGCCAUGGCUGCCCCCUGCCAUCCUCCCGCCCCCCGUGGCCCCCCUGCUCCCACCAGCCACGGUCUCACCAGAGCUUCUGCCGGUAAGAACCUCAUCCCAGAGCUGUUUCUGGGUCUCCAGAGGCAAAGGGAGAUGGGGGUUGGAUGGGAC
rnacentral:lncRNA from 1 species